rnacentral:tRNA from 2 species
GGGCCCAUAGCUCAGUUGGUCAGAGCGCUCGACUCAUAAUCGAUCGGUCCCAGGUUCGAGUCCUGGUGGGCCCACCA